UACGAAGGGGGCUAGCGUUGCUCGGAAUUACUGGGCGUAAAGCGCACGUAGGCGGCUUUCUAAGUCGGGGGUGAAAUCCUGGAGCUCAACUCCAGAACUGCCUCGAUACUGGAGAGCUUGAGUCCGGGAGAGGUGAGUGGAACUGCGAGUGUAGAGGUGAAAUUCGUAGAUAUUCGCAAGAACACCAGUGGCGAAGGCGGCUCACUGGCCCGGUACUGACGCUGAGGUGCGAAAGCGUGGGGAGCAAACAGGG
rnacentral:rRNA from 1 species